rnacentral:rRNA from 1 species
CUGGCGGCAGGCCUAACACAUGCAAGUCGAGCGCGAAAGUCCUUCGGGGCAAGUAGAGCGGCGGACGGGUGAGUAAUGCUUGGGAAUCUACCUAGUAGUGGGGGAUAACGUGUGGAAACGCACGCUAAUACCGCGUACGUCCUACGGGAGAAAGCAGGGGAUCUUCGGACCUUGUGCUAUUGGAUGAGCCCAAGUCGGAUUAGCUAGUUGGUGGGGUAAUGGCUCACCAAGGCGACGAUCCGUAGCUGGUCUGAGAGGAUGAUCAGCCACACUGGGACUGAGACACGGCCCAGACUCCUACGGGAGGCAGCAGUGGGGAAUAUUGGACAAUGGGCGAAAGCCUGAUCCAGCCAUGCCGCGUGUGUGAAGAAGGCUCUAGGGUUGUAAAGCACUUUCAGUAGGGAGGAACGGUUGUUGAUUAAUACUCACCAAUUUUGACGUUACCUACAGAAGAAGCACCGGCAAACUCCGUGCCAGCAGCCGCGGUAAUACGGAGGGUGCGAGCGUUAAUCGGAAUUACUGGGCGUAAAGCGCGCGUAGGUGGUUUGAUAAGCUAGCUGUGAAAGCCCUGGGCUCAACCUGGGAACUGCAGUUAGAACUGUCUGGCUAGAGUACAGUAGAGGGUGGCGGAAUUUCCUGUGUAGCGGUGAAAUGCGUAGAUAUAGGAAGGAACAUCAGUGGCGAAGGCGGCCACCUGGACUGAUACUGACACUGAG